UCAAAGAGUGCGUAAUAGCUCACUAGUCGAGAGGUCCUGCGCCGAAAAUGUCCGGGGCUGAAACACGACACCGAAGCACAGGAUACCGCAAGGUAUGGUAGAGGAGCAUUGCUGGCGCGAUGAAGCAGUACCGGAAGGAGCUGUGGAGUGCCAGGAAGAGAGAAUGCCGGAAUGAGUAGCGAGAGAGAGGUGGGAAUCCUCUCGGCCGAAUAUCCAAGGUUUCCAGGGUAAAGCUGAUCUGCCCUGGGUAAGUCGGGGCCUAAGGAGAGGCAGAAAUGCGUAUCCGAUGGACAGCAGGUUGAGAUUCCUGCACUAUCUUAAAACAGAACUGUGGGGACAUUUGUGGAGAGCACAGGCGCGGAACGGAAAGCCGCGUGCAAGCGAAGGAGGAGUCACAUAGGAAAAACCGUGUGGCAAUCCAGAGGCGUGAUGCGGACCGAACUAAAGUAGGGAAGUGUGUGAGCCAUGAAUCAAGAAAAGCCGCUAUUGUUUUUAAGAUACCCGUACCGUAAACCGACACAGGUGGAUGAGGAGAGAAUCCUAAGGCCGGCGGAAGAAGCAUUGUUAAGGAACUCGGCAAAAUGACCCCGUAACUUCGGGAGAAGGGGUGCCAACGAGAGUUGGCCGCAGAGAAUAGGCUCAAGCAACUGUUUAGCAAAAACACAGGUCUAUGCAAAACCGUAAGGUGAGGUAUAUGGGCUGACGCCUGCCCGGUGCUGGAAGGUUAAGAGGAGAGGUUAGCGCAAGCGAAGCUUUGAAUUUAAGCCCCAGUAAACGGCGGCCGUAACUAUAACGGUCCUAAGGUAGCGAAAUUCCUUGUCGGGUAAGUUCCGACCCGCACGAAAGGCGUAAUGAUUUGAGCACUGUCUCGACAAUGCAUCCGGUGAAAUUGAAGUACCAGUGAAGAUGCUGGUUACCCGCGCCAGGACGGAAAGACCCCAUGGAGCUUUACUCCAGUUUGGUACUGGGAUUCGGUACUGCAUGUACAGGAUAGGUGGGAGACUGAGAAAUUGGAACGCCAGUUUCAAUGGAGUCACUGUUGGGAUACCACCCCUGCAGUAUUGGGUUUCUAACCAGCCGCUGUGAUCCAGCGGUGGGACAAUGCCAGGCGGGGAGUUUGACUGGGGCGGUCGCCUCCGAAAGGGUAUCGGAGGCGCUCAAAGGUUCCCUCAGAAUGGUCGGAAACCAUUUUAAGAGUGCAAAGGCAGAAGGGAGCUUGACUGCGACACCGACGGGUGGAGCAGGUACGAAAGUAGGACUUAGUGAUCCGGUGGCAUAAAGUGGGAUUGCCAUCGCUCAACGGAUAAAAGCUACCCUGGGGAUAACAGGCUUAUCACUCCCAAGAGUUCACAUCGACGGAGUGGUUUGGCACCUCGAUGUCGGCUCAUCGCAUCCUGGGGCUGUAGCAGGUCCCAAGGGUUGGGCUGUUCGCCCAUUAAAGCGGUACGCGAGCUGGGUUCAGAACGUCGUGAGACAGUUCGGUCCCUAUCCGGCGCGGGCGGAGGAUAUUUGAGAGGAGCUGUCCUUAGUACGAGAGGACCGGGAUGGACGGACCACUGGUGUAUCUGCUGUCGACCAACGGCAUGGCAGAGUAGCCAAGUCCGGAAGGGAUAAACGCUGAAGGCAUCUAAGCGUGAAGCCCCCCUCAAGAUGAGAUAUCCCUCACAUAAGUGAGUAAGAUCCCUUGAAGAGUACAAGGUAGAUAGGGCAGAGGUGGAAGCACGGUAACGUGUGGAGCUGACUGUUACUAAUCGAUCGAGGGCUUGACCAA
rnacentral:rRNA from 1 species